AAACAACUUGAAUCAUCACCGAGGCGAGUUUGUAUCAGUGCUGGUCCUGAACGUCCUACCGAUGGCUGAGGUCUGGCAUGUGCUGCGGAUACUCCACAGCUCGUGUGAGUAGCAUCUUGUAGCUACGUUCCUACCCACAGCUCGUGUGAGUAGACCCAUAUUCACAGCUCGUGUGAGCAUUCUGAUUCACAGCUCGUUUGAGCAUAUAUGUACAAGAAUUGACAGAUUGCAGUUGUAUGAGUUAG
rnacentral:lncRNA from 1 species